rnacentral:tRNA from 1 species
GCCUUCGAGGUGUAAUGGUCAGCACACUGGACACAUAUUCGAAAGGUCCGAAGUUCGAUUCCUGGCGAGGGCG